AGCAAUUGCAGAAAUCCCCAAGCUCGCCAUUUAUGGUGUAACCAUCUGAAUGUGGCAAAUCUUUUCCUUCUAUCAUUGCCUCGUCCACCAAUUCCUUCAAGUCCCCCAUGUACCAAGCAGCCAUUCAUUUGGCCAAAAAGAAUGGUGACGCGACAAAAAGAAAAAGAAAAAGCCAGACAUAU